AACAAUUAAAGACAUACAAUUAAAAUUUGAAUCACGUACUGAAAAGAGAAGGGUUAGCGGAAGCAGUUCCAACUUGAACUUUAAGAAGCUCCAAACGACG